rnacentral:rRNA from 1 species
UACGGAGGGUGCAAGCGUUAUCCGGAUUCACUGGGUUUAAAGGGAGCGUAGGUGGGUUGGUAAGUCAGAGGUGAAAUCUCCGAGCUUAACUCGGAAACUGCCUUUGAUACUAUCAGUCUUGAAUAUUGUUGAGGUUAGCGGAAUAUGUCAUGUAGCGGUGAAAUGCUUAGAUAUGACAUAGAACACCAAUUGCGAAGGCAGCUGGCUAAACAUAUAUUGACACUGAGGCUCGAAAGCGUGGGGAUCAAACAGG